AUUACUUUUCGGAGUAGAUGGCGACCGGCGCACGGGUGCGUAACGCGUAUGCAACCUACCCUAAACUGUAGGAUAGCCCGGAGAAAUCCGGAUUAAUACUACAUGGUACUAUAAUAUGGCAUCAUAUAGUAGUUAAAGAUUUAUUGGUUUAGGAUGGGCAUGCGUGACAUUAGCUAGUUGGUACGGUAACGGCGUACCAAGGCGACGAUGUCUAGGGGUUCUGAGAGGAAGAUCCCCCACACUGGUACUGAGACACGGACCAGACUCCUACGGGAGGCAGCAGUGAGGAAUAUUGGUCAAUGGGCGAGAGCCUGAACCAGCCAUGCCGCGUGCAGGAAGACGGCCUUCUGGGUUGUAAACUGCUUUUAUACGGGAGCAAAAAGGUCCUGCGGGACAAAUUGAGAGUAUCGUAUGAAUAAGCACCGGCUAACUCCGUGCCAGCAGCCGCGGUAAUACGGAGGGUGCAAGCGUUGUCCGGAUUUAUUGGGUUUAAAGGGUGCGUAGGCGGCGUAAUAAGUCAGUGGUGAAAGCCGGCAGCUCAACUGUCGAGGUGCCAUUGAAACUGUUAUGCUUGAGUACAGACGAGGUAGGCGGAAUUUAUGAUGUAGCGGUGAAAUGCAUAGAUAUCAUAAAGAACACCGAUAGCGAAGGCAGCUUACUAGGCUGUAACUGACGCUGAGGCACGAAAGCGUGGGGAGCGAACAGGAUUAGAUACCCUGGUAGUCCACGCUGUAAACGAUGAUGACUCGAUGUUGGCGAUAUUACAGUCAGCGUCCUAGCGAAAGCGUUAAGUCAUCCACC
rnacentral:rRNA from 1 species